rnacentral:tRNA from 1 species
GCCGAGGUAACCAAGGUGGUCACGGUGCCUGUCUGAAAAACAGGUUAUGUCAGUUCGACUCUGACCCUCGGCA